UACGUAGGUGGCGAGCGUUAUCCGGAUUUAUUGGGUUUAAAGGGUGCGUAGGCGGUUUUGUAAGUCAGUGGUGAAAGACUGCCGCUUAACGGUAGCAUUGCCAUUGAUACUGCAAGGCUAGAGUACAGUAGAGGUAGGCGGAAUUUAUGGUGUAGCGGUGAAAUGCAUAGAUACCAUAAAGAACACCGAUUGCGAAGGCAGCUUACUGGACUGUAACUGACGCUGAGGCACGAAAGUGUGGGAAUCAAACAGG
rnacentral:rRNA from 1 species